rnacentral:rRNA from 1 species
UACGGAGGGUGCAAACGUUGCUCGGAAUCAUUGGGCGUAAAGCGCACGUAGGCGGUUUGUUAAGUCGGGUGUGAAAGCCCUGGGCUCAACCCAGGAAGUGCACUCGAAACUAGCAGGCUUGAAUAUGGAAGAGGGUCGCGGAAUUCCCGGUGUAGAGGUGAAAUUCGUAGAUAUCGGGAGGAACACCAGUGGCGAAGGCGGCGUUCUGGACUGCAACUGACACUGAGGAACGAAAGCCAGGGGAGCAAACGGG